AUGGGCGGCAAGGAGUACCGGAGGAGGGCGUCGGAGUGGAGGGAGAAGGCCAAGGCGGCCGUGAGCGAGGGCGGCAGCUCCAACCACAACAUCGCCGAUUUCCUCUCGAAAUAUCGCGUGGGAAAAUGA
rnacentral:rRNA from 1 species